rnacentral:RNase_P_RNA from 1 species
GCGGCGGAGCGGGUGAUCGCCUUCCGUCCUGCUUGCAGGCGGGGGGAGGAAAGUCCGAACUUCGCAGGGUAAAGUGCUCCGGAAAUCGGAGGCGUCCCGGAAACGGGGCGACGGACAGUGCCACAGAAAACACACCGCCUUCCGGCCGCGGGCUUCGGUCCGGGGCCGUACGGUAAGGGUGAAAAGGCGAGGUAAGAGCUCACCGGUCCGGCGGCGACGCCGGAUGCAAGGCAAACCCCACUUGAAGCAAGGCCAAAUAGGCGGGGAAUCGGGAACCGGCGCGAGCCGGCGCCCGGCCGAAGCGACCCGUUUCGUCCGACCCGCGGGUAGGCCGCAUAGAUCAAUGAUCACCCUUCCAAUCCGUUGGAAGACAGAAUUCGGCUUACAGCUUCGCCGCCGGU